rnacentral:lncRNA from 1 species
GGGUACUGUCAGCAUCCUGCUUACGUACCUUGCCUUGACCUACUUGUAUCUAGCUUCUUUGUGCCCAGAUUGGCAAGCUGAGUCAUAAUGACAGCAGUGAAUGCUAAAGAACUGGAUUCUGAGAACUCUGGAAUCCCUGAGGACAGCAGGAUGGAGAAUUCUUAUUAUGGGAUGGAGGGAAAUUAUUGCUAAGGGAACCCCAGUAAGAGUCAUCACACCCACAUUUCUGUCCACUACAUCCUUUCUGAGAUUCAAGUUAGAAGAUAACUCCUGGCUUUCCUGGGAGAAUGAGAAGGACCUCAGCCAGGGAGAUGCCUGCCUGGGGACACAGAGUGCAAAAGACCUCAAAAUAGAUCUUCUCAAGUUACCUGAAGGCAAAAGAGAUGCAGAGACACCAGUAAAAAAGCCUUCUCAAAUCAGAGUCCUUCCUAGGGCUCCAGGCAGGGCAAAGGACCAGAGUGUCCCCUCCCUGCCUUCUCGCCUACAGAAGGGCACUCAGCCAGGGACUGCUCAGAGGGGGUGAAUGGGAUGAUGGUGGUUCUCCAUGUUGGUUGGGCAGUAAUUCAACAAUUCAUUUAAAUUCAGUUAUUAAGCCACAGGUAGCAGGCAGUAACACAGACAUCAGGGAUUCAAAGACAAAAAACAUUAAAAUGCUUGCCUUUAAGACAAGGCAUCUGCUCUGACUUGGAGACCAGUGCAUAAACAUGAUCACAAGUUAGAGGAAGGUGAAGAAAUCAUAAUGAUGCUGCUCAUGGCAGAGGGAUUUGGGGGUUUAUCGAGCAAGUUGGAGGUUUUCAAGUUUUCUAGAAGCACAAUCCUUUGUUUUUCCAAACGAGGUCCUACACAGAACCUCACAGUUUUAGGAAUGAUCUUUCUAAAAUAUUGAUCUGACCACGUCACUCCUUGGCUUAAGGCAAGGGUCUACAAGAUCUUUCUAUAAAGGGCAAGAAAGUAUAUAUUUUAGAUUUUUCAGGCCAGACAGCCUCUGUUGAAACUACUCAGCUCUGUCCUUGCAGAGCUAAUGAAGCCGGACAGAAUAAAUAAAUGAACGGCCAUGGCUGUGUUCAAGAAAACUGCAUUUAUAAAAACAGGCGUAUUUGACCAAUGGGUUGUAGUUUGUUUACCUCUAGCACAGAGUUACUCAGAGGCUCCCCCCUCCUUCGCCUCAGACUCCAGACCUUUCCACAGUCUGAACCCCAGUGCCCAGUUUACCACUCUGUGCCUUCCUCCCACCGCAUCCUCUGCUCCAGCCAAAUGGAACUUUUCCAUGUAACCUGAAAACACCACGGCCCUUCAUAAAGCUAUGUCUUCCCAAUGUGAUGGUGUUAGGAGGUGGGGCCUUUGGGAAGUGAUCGAAUGACGAGGGUGGAGCUCUCAUGAAUGAGAUUAAUGCCUUUACAAAAGAGGCCCAAGAGAGCUCCCUCGUCCCUUCCACCCUGUGAGGAUCCAAUGAGAAGUCUGCAACCCAGAAGAGGGCCCUCGCCCGACCAUGCUGGCAUCCCGAACUUGUACUUCCAGCCUCUAGAACUGGUCCUAGAAAUUUCUCACCUAGAACUGGUGAGAAAGAAAUUUCUGUUGUUUAUAAGCCACCCAGUCUAUGAUAUUUUGUUAUGGCAACCCGAACAGUAUAAGACAUCCCUCAUCUCACUUUUUUUGGCAACCCCUGAUUAUUUUGAGAAGUUGUUUAUUCCUAUGCCCAUCUAUUCCAGCAGAGUCUGAGUUCCUCAAAGGCAGGGACUAUGUCUUCAUUCCCCUCUAGAUCCCAGCUCCCAAGACUAAGGAAUGUUUGAUGGAUAAAACAUACCUCAAAAAGUGGGAGGAAGUAGACUAAAGGGAAACAUAACUUUAUCCCUGUGUCUUGCUGCAUCAGAAUUGUCAUGGUCCAUUAUAAGGCGAUAUCGCCCCUUUAGAUAAAACCUGCAACUUCUAAUAUUUAGCCCCGGUGUUAGAGGCAGCUCUCAGCCAUCCUCUGAGAUUCUAUCACUAUUGCUCCUGCUUCCCACUCUAUUUUUUAUUUCAGGACUGUAAACCUACUUCCCAAAUUCUGUGUCUGCAAAAUCCCUCCUGGGAGCCUCCUUUCCAGAUUCCUCUUCUCUUCCUUCCUCCUCCAUCUGCUCUUUCUUUGUAAAUUUCACUACCAUUCCUCAACCCCUCAAUGCGUACAGAGUGGUGGAGGGUCAUUCCAGUGCUUUUCAUUGAGUAACUGGAAGUUUUGCCUAAAACCACUUAUUCAAUACAUAUUUUUUGAGCAUCUUCCAUGUAUUUAGGACACACCAGUAACCAAGGUAGAUGUACUUCAACCUCUCAAGAAGCUCAAGGUUUAUUGGAGAAGAAAGCAAGGCUGAGGAUUAGUAAGCGUUCCCGUAGAAAGCAGGGUCAUGGAGGCAGAAGCUAUAAACCAUACCUGGGAUGAUGCAGAGGCAGAAAGUUAGGUUAUUCUUCCUUUAUUAAGUGGUAUCUGAGGCAAAGGCUGGAGUGGGCAGAUUAAGUAGGAGUUAGCCAAGUGAGCAGGGACAAAGAGAGCACUGAGCAGGAGGACAGAAAGAGCAAAGACCUGAGAGUAAAAAAGAGGAUAAGUUCAGGGAAUGGAGAAUAAUUCUGUCUCAGAGAAAGCUAUAGCAUGUUCAAAGUUCAUGGCAAGUUUGAUCGGGGCCAACAUCACUAUCCCAGCAGUCGAAUCUGAUGAGUGGGACUCCCAACAGAAAUCUCAGGAAGAGGCAAUACUUGGAGCCAUUCAGAUGGAAGCCAUGUAAUUCCAGGAAGCCUGGAUCAGGGUAGGCUGGGCUACAACCCAGGUCCUAAGCCAAGAGCCAGCAGUUCAUGCAUUUAACAAAUAUGUAUGAGCCGCUGUUAGGUGGAGACAGCUGCAAUGGUGAGAUGGAUAGGCAGCUUUCAGAAGUUCAUCAAGCAGGCUGCAGGGGGUAAAGGGAGCUUGGAAUCAAGGUGUAAUACUGACAGGGGCCCCGAAGAGUCAAUCAGAAAGUAAGACAGAAUGAGGAAAAUAAAGAAGACAAAAGGAAAGCCCCCCAGCUGUGGGAAUCAUGUUGGCAAAACUCUAAUUCCAGAUGCCACUCACUGAUACAUUGGAACUCAUCACUAUUCUCUUCUGCCUGGCUUGGAUAUCGCUGCUUCUUGAAGUCAGUGUUGCUGAGCAUCAUGGCUGCUGUUAUCUCAGUCUAUAGCCAAAUGGCCCUGAGGAGUACAAUAGCUACUUGGCCCAGUUGAGGAAUCCCAAGCUCUGAAACAGUCUAGAGGCUAGCGUUCUUUAGGAUCAGUUUUGCCAGUGACGCUCCUCUUUCUUUCAACAUGGGGCUACAUCUAUCCUUUCAAUUGAAAAAAAGGCCAAAAAACACACCACCAUAGUAAAAUCCUUUUCAUGGAGAUUCCUUUCAGCUUUCUUCUUUAACCUUCAAUAUUCACUCCGCGAACACCUCACAGAGUCUCCUACUAUGCCUUUGGGGUCUUAGGUUAGAGUUCAGCCCUUAAUGAGCCUCCCCACACCGAGAACAGACAGCAAAGGCUGUCUGCCAGGGAGGAUUUACAUAUUCAGCAGCCCAGCUUCUCUUUCCUCUGCUCCGUUCAAGACAGAAGGGGCUGCAGAAGCCUUGAUCUCUGAGUGGUCUCUGGCCACAAGGUGGAGAGAUAAAACAGCUUUGCUGAGAACCCAAGGGAAGACUGAGCUGUGGCUGCCUGAGUCUUAUCAAAAGAAAAACGGUUACAGCACUUCUGUGGAUUUUCAAAAAAUAAAUAACACAGGAAAAAACUUGUAAGAAUAUGAAAUUAAAUUUGCCAAAUAUGCUGAGAGUUGGUCCUUGGAGAAACUUUAUCUCUACUGCAUAGUCAAACACAUCAACUUUGGGGGUGCCUGGAAAUGACUGUGUGGCAUAGAUUCAAUUUGUUCUUGUGUAGACAAUAUUAUCUGGCACCGGGAACAGGAAACUUCAGAACAGAUUUUGGUAAACACAAUUACAAAUUGUGAGGAAGGACUUCUGGGGGCUCUUCAUGGAUGUCACCAACAGGACCAGCUCAAAUCUCCCAACUGGUGGGACUUGUCGAGCAUCCUAGGAAGGAGUGAAGAGGAGACAGCAGCCAUCCUCUGGUGUCUUUGAUGGAUUGGCAUUUCUCAAAUUCAAGGCUGGAUAAUCGGUGGAAAAAAGCUGAAAUGUACUAAUGUGGCAUAUCCAUAAAGACCAGAAAGCCAGUUUUGUUUUCCCUAAAACAGAUUUUAGUCAUUUUGGGGAAUAACUUUUACUCACUUGUGUGUAUAAACACAUACAUGCUCACUUAUCCAAAACUGUAACAAUUCCAUUUGGAAGAAGGACAUGGCGUAGCCAUGAAGCCUCCGCCAAUUUCAGGCGAAUGUUAAAUACUGUUAAGGGGAGAGUAAUGUGGAUGUUUAAGGAAGCUGCCCUGUUGGGACAAGAAGGUAAGCCCGACCUACUGCCCCUUUAUCUUAGUUCACCACACCUUUCUCAGAUCCCAGGUACUGGCACCAGCAGAACGAGAGCAGCCACCAUUCCAUUUGCCAAAGCUAUGCCCUCAAUAGAUGCUGCAUUCCAGAUGACCACACAUCAUGAUUUAAGUCCUAUUUUACCACUAGGUGCUAUAGGACACUAGUUUUCUAUUGUCUAAUGGUGACUGGAGCUUCACUACCUUCAACCCAGUCAGGUUAUACAAGCUAUCUCAGGUUUCCCUCUUGGGGAGUCUAAUGCCUAUAACCAUUUCCGGUACCAAGUGUUGUCUCCAUCAAGACUUAGUUGCAGAUGACAGGGCUCCUUUAACCAUUUUUGAGAAAUAUAAAACAGGGAAUUAUUGGAGGAGCUAGAGGAGCAUGCUGUAGAAUUGGCCUCUGAGAUUUAUUUCUAGACUAACACUGCAGAAUUGGCUGCCAGAGGAACUAUUGCUUCUAUCGCAAGAAGGAUGCUGGGGGCCAGGAAGGCACUGCAGGGACCCUUGUUUCCAGGGUCAUACUGGGGCCGCAGGACCAAUACCAGCAACGAAUGCCUCCUAGGUUACCAUCUUCCCUGCCUAAUGAAGGUCUGAUUCAAGUCUUGGCAAGUGUGUCUGAUUGCAAAAUCAAAAUCACAUCCAAAAUCUUAACUUCAAGGGAGUCCAUUUUUAGUUUUCCAGUUUCUGCAGCACAAAAGAAAGAAUGCUUGAAGCAGGUGGCCAGCAGAUGUAGAGGCAGAAACCUACAGUAUUUACUUUGCCUUCACCAUGAGUUCCACCCAAGUUCUCAAAUUAUAAAUCAACUAGCCAAGUGUUCGUUGAGCUCUUUCUGUGCACAAAGUGCUUUAGAGGGUACAGAGAUGUUUGAGGUGUGUCUAAAUUAAGAUGUUCCCUGAUUUCGCAAAUUACCUGAGUUAAUGCAUUGGAAUGAAUGCCCCCCUUCCCCAUUUGCAUAUCUUACAUGAUACAAUCUUGCCUCAGAACUUUUCUGGAUCUCCCAUUAGGAAAGGCUUGUACUUCAUGAGCAUACCAUCACUUGCACACUUGGAAAUCAGGCUCAUAAUUUUACGUCAUACCUGUCAGAAUGCUAGCUCAUGUUUACUAUGUGCCAGCACUGUGCCAUGUUUUUUACGUACAUUAUCUUAUUUCAACUGCACAACAAAUUGCCCUGUGAAGUACGUGCUAUUACCAUUUCUAUCUUACUAUAAUAAAUAGAAGCUCAGAAAAGUUAAGUGACUUUCCCAAAGUCACACACAUUUUCUAAGUGUCAGGUAGCAGAUGGGAACUGAGGCUUUGUGGCUUCUAGGACGAUUCUCUCCCCAUAACAUUGCACUCCUUUUCUUAACUAAAAGAAUGGAGUUUUUCUUCUUGCCUCAGAGCCCACCACAUCUCUCAGGCUUGGAUCCCAGUGACUUUUGACUCUUUCCAGAUGGGGCAUCCUCUGUUACUACAGAAAAGAUCUCUUUGAGGUGGUUACUCUUACUGAAGAAAUUCAAGUGAAUAUGCCCUAGGAUCUGCAGCUAGUCCUAGGGAGAUGGAGCAGGAAUGUUUCCAAUAAAAAGUAUGGCUUUAUUAUUUCAAUAUACCCAAAGCCUCCCCAGGUAGCUCCCUGAGACAGGAUAAUAAUCAGCUAUGUAUAAAAAUCAUAGGCUGUAUAGUCAUUACACAUUUAUAAGGUGCCGUGUGCUUAUUUAAAAUUUAGGCACGUUACCUCAUUCAUUCACCUUGGUAAUAUUUGGCCCCUGUUUUUGCGUUAUGUAUAAUUUGCUCCCUCCUUCACGUUUUUGCUUCCUGAUACAGUGGAAUUUUGAGAUUGGACAACAUGAGCUCAG